CCUACCACCCUUUGUUUAUUACACUUUGUUGCUUUGGCAAGCCUGCCCUCGGGCUGCUGGCUCCGGCCGGCGAGCGCUUGCCAGAGGACCUAAACUCUGUUUGUCUAUACUGUCUGAGUACUAUAUAAUAGUUAAAACUUUCAACAACGGAUCUCUUGGUUCUGGCAUCGAUGAAGAACGCAGCGAAAUGCGAUAAGUAAUGUGAAUUGCAGAAUUCAGUGAAUCAUCGAAUCUUUGAACGCACAUUGCGCCCCCUGGUAUUCCGGGGGGCAUGCCUGUCCGAGCGUCAUUACAACCCUCAAGCUCAGCUUGGUGUUGGGCCCCGCCGCCCCGGCGGGCCCUAAAGUCAGUGGCGGUGCCGUCCGGCUCCGAGCGUAGUAAUUCUUCUCGCUCUGGAGGUCCGGUCGUGUGCUCGCCAGCAACCCCCAAUUUUUUUCAGGUUGACCUCGGAUCAGGUAGGGAUACCCGCUGAACUUAAGCAUAUCAAUAAG
rnacentral:rRNA from 1 species